CCUACGGGCGGCAGCAGUGGGGAAUAUUGCACAAUGGGGGAAACCCUGAUGCAGCGACGCCGCGUGAGUGAAGAAGUAUUUCGGUAUGUAAAGCCCUAUCAGCAGGGAAGAAAAUGACGGUACCUGAUUAAGAAGCCCCGGCCAACUACGUGCCAGCAGCCGCGGUAAUACGUAGGGGGCCAGCGUUAUCCGGAUUUUCUGGGUGUAAAGGGGGCGUAGACGGCAGCACAAGUCUGGAGUGAAAUGCCCGGGCUUAACCCCGGAACUGCCUUGGAAACUGUGCAUCUAGAGUGCAGGAGAGGUAAGUGGAAUUCCUAGUGUAGCGGUGAAAUGCGUAGAUAUUAGGAGGAACACCAGUGGCGAAGGCAGCAUACUGGACUGUAACUGACGUUGAGGCUCGAAAGCGUGGGGAGCAAACAGGAUUAGAUACCCCUGUAGUC
rnacentral:rRNA from 1 species